UACGUAGGGGGCAAGCGUUAUCCGGAUUUACUGGGUGUAAAGGGAGCGUAGACGGCAGGGCAAGUCUGGAGUGAAAGGCAGGGGCCCAACCCCUGGACUGCUCUGGAAACUGUUCGGCUGGAGUGCAGGAGAGGUAAGUGGAAUUCCUAGUGUAGCGGUGAAAUGCGUAGAUAUUAGGAGGAACACCAGUGGCGAAGGCGGCUUACUGGACUGUAACUGACGUUGAGGCUCGAAAGCGUGGGGAGCAAACAGG
rnacentral:rRNA from 1 species